rnacentral:tRNA from 1 species
GCCCGGGUAGCUCAGUUGGUAGAGCGCGUCUCUUGUAAAGACGGGGUCGCCGGUUCGAGUCCGGCCCCGGGCU